rnacentral:rRNA from 1 species
UUCCUACGGGGGGCUGCAGUGGGGAAUAUUGCGCAAUGGGGGAAACCCUGACGCAGCGACGCCGUGUGAGGGAAGAAGGCCUUCGGGUCGUAAACCUCUGUCGGGAGGGAAGAACCGCCAGGUUUCGAACAGAGACCUGGCCUGACGGUACCUCUAGAGGAAGCGCCGGCUAACUCCGUGCCAGCAGCCGCGGUAAUACGGAGGGCGCAAGCGUUAAUCGGAAUACCUGGGCGUAAAGCGCACGUAGGCGGCGGGAUAAGUCGGGCGUGAAAGCCCUCGGCCCAACCGAGGAAUUGCGUUCGAUACUGUUUGGCUUGAGUCCUGGAGAGGGUGGCGGAAUUCCGGGUGUAGGAGUGAAAUCCGUAGAUAUCCGGAGGAACACCGGUGGCGAAGGCGGCCACCUGGACAGGUACUGACGCUGAGGUGCGAAAGCGUGGGGAGCAAACAGGAUUAGAUACCCGUGUAGUCUG